rnacentral:tRNA from 1 species
GACUAUGAAGUGUAAUGGUUUUGCAUACCACACUGUCAAUGUGGUGGAUGGGGUUCAAUUCCCCCAUAGUCU